rnacentral:rRNA from 1 species
GGGAAUCUUCGGAUUCUAGUGGCGGACGGGUGAGUAACGCGUAAGAAUCUAACUUCAGGACGGGGACAACAGUUGGAAACGACUGCUAAUACCCGAUGUGCCGCAAGGUGAAACCUAAUUGGCCUGAAGAAGAGCUUGCGUCUGAUUAGCUAGUUGGUGGGGUAAGAGCCUACCAAGGCGACGAUCAGUAGCUGGUCUGAGAGGAUGAGCAGCCACACUGGGACUGAGACACGGCCCAGACUCCUACGGGAGGCAGCAGUAGGGAAUUUUCCGCAAUGGGCGAAAGCCUGACGGAGCAACGCCGCGUGAGGGAGGAAGGUCUUUGGAUUGUAAACCUCUUUUCUCAAGGAAGAAGUUCUGACGGUACUUGAGGAAUCAGCCUCGGCUAACUCCGUGCCAGCAGCCGCGGUAAUACGGGGGAGGCAAGCGUUAUCCGGAAUUAUUGGGCGUAAAGCGUCCGCAGGUGGUCAGCCAAGUCUGCUGUCAAAUCAGGUUGCUUAACGACCUAAAGGCGGUGGAAACUGGCAGACUAGAGAGCAGUAGGGGUAGCAGGAAUUCCCAGUGUAGCGGUGAAAUGCGUAGAGAUUGGGAAGAACAUCGGUGGCGAAAGCGUGCUACUGGGCUGUAUCUGACACUCAGGGACGAAAGCUAGGGGAGCGAAAGGGAUUAGAUACCCCUGUAGUCCUAGCCGUAAACGAUGGAUACUAGGCGUGGCUUGUAUCGACCCGAGCCGUGCCGAAGCUAACGCGUUAAGUAUCCCGCCUGGGGAGUACGCACGCAAGUGUGAAACUCAAAGGAAUUGACGGGGGCCCGCACAAGCGGUGGAGUAUGUGGUUUAAUUCGAUGCAACGCGAAGAACCUUACCAAGACUUGACAUGUCGCGAACCCNGGNGAAAGCUAGGGGUGCCUUCGGGANCNCGAACACAGGUGGUGCAUGGNUGUCGUCA